rnacentral:rRNA from 1 species
AGCAGCCGCGGUAAUUCCAGCUCCAAUAGCGUAUAUUAAAGUUGUUGCAGUUAAAAAGCUCGUAGUUGAAUUUCGGGAUUGACACAUCGGUCGUGCCUUAAGGGGUAUGAACUGGUGUAGUCAAUUUCUCACCUUCUGGAGAACCGCGAUGUCCUUAAUUGGGUGCCGCGAGGAACCAGGACCUUUACUUUGAAAAAUUAGAGUGUUUAAAGCAGGCAUUUUUGCUUGAAUACAUUAGCAUGGAAUAAUAAAAUAGGACGGCAUGAUUCUAUUCUGUUGGUUUCUAGGAUCACCGUAAUGAUUAAUAGGGAUAGUUGGGGGCAUUAGUAUUCAAUUGUCAGAGGUGAAAUUCUUGGAUUUAUUGAAGACUAACUACCGCAAAAGCAUUUGUCCAAGGAUGUUUUCAUUAAUCAAGAACGAAAGUUAGGGGAUCGAAGACGAU